ensembl:lncRNA
AGUGGAAGGCCACAGGACAAAAGGUCAGGGUCUCACUCUGUUGCCCAGGAUAGAGUGCAGUGGCAUGGUCACAGAUCACCGCAGCUUCAACCUCCCAGGCUCAAGCAAUCUUUCCACAUCAGCCUCCUGAGUAGCUGGAAAUACAGGCAUGCACAAUUAUGCCUGGCUAUUUUUUAUAUUAUUUUUUUUGUAGAGACAGAGUCUUGCUGUGUUGCCCAGGCUGUUCUCAGUCUCCAAUUCUUGAGCUCAAGUGACCCUUCAGCCUCUGCCCCUCGAAGUGAUGGAAUUACAGAUUCACAAUUUAUGGUGAAUAACUUACAAGCAAAUAAUUAA